UGGGGAAUUUUGGACAAUGGACGCAAGUCUGAUCCAGCCAUGCCGCGUGCGGGAAGAAGGCCUUCGGGUUGUAAACCGCUUUUGUCAGGGAAGAAACGAGUUUCUCUAAUACAGAGACUUAAUGACGGUACCCGGAGAAGAAGCCCCGGCUAACUUCGUGCCAGCAGCCGCGGUAAUACGAAGGGGGCUAGCGUUGCUCGGAAUUACUGGGCGUAAAGGGAGCGUAGGCGGACAUUUAAGUCAGGGGUGAAAUCCCCGGGCUCAACCUGGGAACUGCCUUUGUGACUGCAUAGCUAGAGUACGGUAGAGGGGGAUGGAAUUCCGCGUGUAGCAGUGAAAUGCGUAGAUAUGCGGAGGAACACCGAUGGCGAAGGCAAUCCCCUGGACCUGUACUGACGCUCAUGCACGAAAGCGUGGGGAGCAAACA
rnacentral:rRNA from 1 species